GCUGUCGUGGCCGAGUGGUUAAGGCGAUAGACUUGAAAUCUAUUACUUUCGGGUGCGCAGGUUCGAGUCCUGUCGGCAGCG